CUUUUCCUCCACCUGACAGAAAACCACCCCGAAGCUGGGGAGUCAGGUUCUGCUCACCAGCAUUUGCCCCAUUUUUUUUCCAAAACCUGGAAAAAAAAAACAUGGGAAAGGGAAAGCUGGUGGGGAGAAUGGAACUGGAGAUGUCCCAGAUUGUGUCAGAUGGAAUGGAAAAUAAACUCAUUUUCAUUCGUGGGUUUGCUGAACAUUUUGAAGCACCACUGGCAGUUCCAGGUCUUCAGCAACACCAGGGCUGGGAUUUCCAGCAUGGAAUUCCUGCCUGAGGAAGGCGCUGGGUUGUUCAGUGCUCCGGGAGUUUCAGGACUGAAGAGGAGCUUCCAUCACUUAAAACCAGAAGCGAAACCUUUUCCAACCUCACCUUUUCCAACCUCGCCUUUUCCUCCUCCUGUUCCCUCAUUCAGAUUUGGUUUUUUUCCACUUAAUUAAAACCCCUGCUCCUGAUUAAUAUUAGAGAGCCUGUGUGGGUGCAUAAAUACAUCUGCUGAGCACAUGGGGAGUGCCCCAGAGCGGUGCCUGCCGGGGACUCUGCUGGGCAGAAGGAGAAUUUUCAUGGAAAAUCCAUGGGAAGCUGUGAAAAUUGGCAAGCAGAACAACAAAAGCUGACAGGGUUGUUCCAAAGAGCUGCAUUUUAAAGGGUCAGGCCUUAAAAUGUGGCCUUGAACAUCAGCUUGGGGGGCUGAGCUGGAGGGGCUGUGUCCAAGUUGGGAAUUCAAAGCAUCCCUCCCUUCAUCCUGCCUGCUGCUCCUGGUGUUCCUGAUGUUUGGGACAGCCCUGGCCACUCAAACACCGCAAAUCUCCCCAAAGCAUCCCCAGAAUCACAGGUGAAACCCCAUAGAGGCCACUGACCCCCCAGCAGUGGGGUUUGGAGCCUCCUGUCCCCAGCACGGUCUGUGAUGAUCCAGAAAAGCCUCCCAGGCUGGUAAAGAGCACCAGGAGCUUUGUGUUGAAUAAAACAAAUCCAAUCCCGGGCUGUUAUUGCAGCUGAUAACUCCAGUAGAGUUUACUUUCCCCUUCUUGUUCUGCUGUGUCUUUUCAUUUUGACCCGCAUGGGUGGGAACCUGCUUAAGCACAGGCAGCUGCCAGAGGAAAAAUUGAAGCUACAGGCGUUCAAGAUAGCGAAUUACUUGUUUAUCAUCCCUGAGCGCUCCCUGUUGGUUUCCUUGUAUAGCCGGGGAUGUUUAAAGACUUUGGUAGCUGUGAAAUGCUUCCAUUUCCUCCCCUGCUCCCUCAUGUCCUUUCGCUGUUACCGUCAUUAGCAUUUAAAAACCAGACGCUGCCGGAGCUUUACAACCUUAAAAUCAAUAAUGAAAAUAAAUAAAUAAAAAGAGAGCAACAACCAAAAUUACAUUUCAAGGCUGGAAACGAAUGGCUUUUUCCUGUGCUCUGCUGUGGGGGAACGGUGUGUGUGUGUGUGUUAGCUGUG
rnacentral:lncRNA from 1 species